UUGUCUUUGCCUCUCCGAGCUUCGCCGCCUACCAGGUUCUCCUCAUGGCGGCAAGCCUGAGGGUACUGCUGGAAACGGCGGUGCCUCCCUUUUGGAAAGGAGAGCCUUGAGCAGAAGC
rnacentral:ncRNA from 2 species